CCUUCACCUAUUUUACAUUUACAUGCUCUUUUGAUCUAUUGCUAUCCCUAUGUUGCGAUUCUGUUGUGUCACGUAUCCUAUUCCACCUGUUACCCUAUAUGAUCCGAGAUACACCUCCUUGCCCUACCUGAUGUUUGUUGUUUGCCAGCUUUGCGAGUCGUAGGCGAGUUUAGGGUCUUGUUGAUAUCUCGAGAUGUUCGGGAUAUCUUGUUGGGAGGUUAUCACAUGCUAUAUCUUUUGUUGGAGAUAAUCACACUUUACUUUAUUGUUAACAACUAAAAUUGUAAGCAGAGGCAUCUGUGAGCCCCUUUGUGAAAGCAUCGGAACUUUGACUCGUUAAUGUCCCCUAGGACCCGAGUUCUUGUUAUCUGUUCCGAGAUUGAGCGCUCUACCCAUGCGUGGGGACGAUUAUCGGGACCCCCCCUCACCCUUUACCUUUUCUCAAGUCAGUUGAAAAGGGGGCCACAACCUUGGUUUUAUUUGCCUAUGCCAUGUAUGCCAUGCUUUACUUACUGUUGCCUUCGGGUGUUUACUUCCUGUUGCCUUCGGGUGUUUAUAUUCUGUAUUGUACCCCGCGGAACGUUUAGCGAAGCGUGUGGUUUGCACGCCUAGCCGUUAACGCAAACCCUGAGUCCGCUUCGGAGUACGGCCGGACUUCAUUACGGGUAGCUUAGUCGGGUGGCCCCCCUAGACUUUCUUGCUGAACUGGGAACAGUCUUGUUGUGAGACAUCCACCUGUCGUAAGUGGGUCGAGCAUGCGUAUGGUUACAUUUGGGCAACCCCUGCAGGGUGUACAUCUUAUCGAUAAGCCGUGUCCGCGGUUAUGGACGACUUGGAAUUGUAUAGCUCGAUCAUAGAACAACUUACACCUUAUUUCCUGUUGUUAAUAAUUUGCUAAUAAAACUCUUUCAAAAGGGUGUGUGCCUUUGCAACAUCUCUUGGCGAAGGGGGAUCGCAUCGGCUGGGUUAUGUUUGCAGAGUAUAGAACUGUUACCUUGUGCGCUCUCUUAUCUUCUCUGAGUAGACGGAUGUUGUAGCGUGUCUCUAUUGGAUAGUAGCUUUGCUGCCGCUAAACUCCACAUAUAGCCGGGUGAAGUUUAUACCGCCCACCAGCGAGCAUAGCUGGUCUUGUCUCGCAAGUACGUGCCAAUGGUACUUACCCUCGCCUUUCUUUUCUUUUUGUCUCCUCCCCCUUUUGUCGGCAACCGAUGGCCCGACUUUGACAGGUACGAGAUGACGACGUUAGCAAGGUUACCCUUCCGGCUUGGCCUGGGCAGGGUUAUGGACGCCACUGGUUACCUUCAGGACUCUUAGUCCAAUUUGUAUCUUGUCCGUACUCGGACGUAUUUGAUCUUCUGUAUGAUUCGGAUCUUCGUAUUGUAUAUUUGUAUCUUGACUCGUUGGAGUCGUUGUUGUAAUAUAUGUUUCUUGUGGGCUCUAUUGUAAUCCUAUUGUAAUGUUA